rnacentral:rRNA from 1 species
GAUUUGGAUACUGUCUCGGAGAGGGGCUCGGUGAAAUAGACUUGUCUGUGAAGAUGCGGACUACCUGCACCAGGACAGAAAGACCCUAUGAAGCUUUACUGUAACCUGAAAUUGAAAUUGGACUUUAGUCGCGCAGUAUAGGUGGGAGGCGUUGAAAGUAUUCUUGCGGGAAUACUGGAGCUAUCAGUGAGAUACCACUCUUCUAAUGUUAGAUUUCUAACUUUGAACCAUUAUCUGGUCAAAGAACAGUUUCAGGCGGGCAGUUUGACUGGGGCGGUCGCCUCC